rnacentral:ncRNA from 1 species
CUGCAGUUUUGGUCCUAGACUCAAUAUUAAUUUUAACUAAAGUUAUACAUGCAAGUUUCAGCAAUCCAGUGAAUACGGCCAAAUCAGACCAUUAUUUAUUUGGAUGCCGGUAUCAGGCAUAUAUUCUUAACAUAGCCCAUGACACCUCCUUCAGCCACACCCCAAAGGGUAUUCAGCAGUAAUAGAUUCUAUACAAUAAGCGAAAGCUUGAAUUAGUUAAAUCAGUUAUAAGAGUUGGUAAAACUCGUGCCAGCCACCGCGGUUAUACGAGUAACGCACAUUAAUACUUUCCGGCGUAAAGGGUGAUUUAAAAAAUUUUCAAUUCAUACUAAAGUAAAGAUUUUACUAAAGCUGUUAUACUUCGCAUUCAUAAACCAAAAGACUCACCAACGAAAGUGACUUAAUUAAUAAAUUUGACACUUUGACCUCACGACAAUUAAAACCCAAACGAGGAUUAGACACCCUACGAUGUUUAAUUAUAAAUAGAUAAGUAUUUACUAACCUAUUCGCCUGAGAACUAUAAGCGCUAGCUUAAAACCCAAAGGACUUGGCGGUUCUUCAGAUCCACCUAGAGGGGCCUGUUCUAUAACCGAUAAUCCACGUUAAGCUGCCUCACCACUCCUUGCCAUUCCGCCUAUAUACCGCCGUCACCAGCUCACCCUAUGAAGAAUAACAGUAAGCAAAAUGAAUAAUAUAUUCAAUACGUCAGGUCGAGGUGUAGCGAAUGAAGUGGAAAGAAAUGGGCUACAUUUCCUACAAGAAAAGCGGACAAUAAAUGAAAAAUUCUACUUAACAAGGUGGAUAUAGCAGUAAAGAUAAAUAAGCACAUUAUCUUGAAGACGGCUCUGAAGAGUGCACACACCGCCCGUCACUCUCCUCAAAACCAAACUUAAGUAUAAAUAAAAAAGAUUUAAUAUAAGAGGAGGCAAGUCGUAACAUGGUAAGUGUACUGGAAAGUGCACUUGGAAUAAC